GAUGAACGCUGGCGGCGUGCUUAACACAUGCAAGUCGAACGAAACACUUUAUUUGAUUUCCUUCGGGACUGAUUAUUUUGUGACUGAGUGGCGGACGGGUGAGUAACGCGUGGGUAACCUGCCUUGUACAGGGGGAUAACAGUUGGAAACGGCUGCUAAUACCGCAUAAGCGCACGGCAUCGCAUGAUGCAGUGUGAAAAACUCCGGUGGUAUAAGAUGGACCCGCGUUGGAUUAGCUAGUUGGUGAGGUAACGGCCCACCAAGGCGACGAUCCAUAGCCGACCUGAGAGGGUGACCGGCCACAUUGGGACUGAGACACGGCCCAAACUCCUACGGGAGGCAGCAGUGGGGAAUAUUGCACAAUGGGCGAAAGCCUGAUGCAGCGACGCCGCGUGAGCGAAGAAGUAUUUCGGUAUGUAAAGCUCUAUCAGCAGGGAAGAUAAUGACGGUACCUGACUAAGAAGCACCGGCUAAAUACGUG
rnacentral:rRNA from 1 species